GACGAACGCUGGCGGCGUGCUUAACACAUGCAAGUCGAACGGUAAGGCCCUUCGGGGUACACGAGUGGCGAACGGGUGAGUAACACGUGGGUGAUCUGCCCUGCACUUCGGGAUAAGCCUGGGAAACUGGGUCUAAUACCGGAUAGGACCACUGCCUGCAUGGGUGGUGGUGGAAAGCUUUUGCGGUGUGGGAUGGGCCCGCGGCCUAUCAGCUUGUUGGUGGGGUGAUGGCCUACCAAGGCGACGACGGGUAGCCGGCCUGAGAGGGUGACCGGCCACACGGGGACUGGGAUACGGCCCAGACUCCUACGGGGGGCAGCAGUGGGGAAUAUUGCACAAUGGGCGCAAGCCUGAUGCAGCGACGCCGCGUGAGGGAUGACGGCCUUCGGGUUGUAAACCUCUUUCAGCACCGACGAAGCGCAAGUGACGGUAGGUGCAGAAGAAGGACCGGCCAACUACGUGCCAGCAGCCGCCGUAA
rnacentral:rRNA from 1 species